CGCAAUGCCGCGUGUGUGAAGAAGGCCUUCGGGUUGUAAAGCACUUUCGGUGGGGACAAACAAGGCGGAGCUAACAUCUCCGUCCCUGAUGGUACCCAAAGAAGAAGCACCGGCUAACUCUGUGCCAGCAGCCGCGGUAAUACAGAGGGUGCAAGCGUUAAUCGGAAUUACUGGGCGUAAAGCGUGCGUAGGUGGUUUGUUAAGUCAGGUGUGAAAUCCUCGGGCUCAACCCGGGAACUGCGCUUGAUACUGACAGACUCGAGUGUGGUAGAGGAUAGUGGAAUUCCCGGUGUAGCGGUGAAAUGCGUAGAUAUCGGGAGGAACAUCAGUGGCGAAGGCGGCUAUCUGGACCAACACUGACACUGAGGUACGAAAGCGUGGGUAGCAAACAGGAUUAGAUACCCUGGUAGUCCACGCCCUAAACGAUGGGUACUAGACGUCGGGAAGCUUGUCUUCUUGGUGUCGCAGCUAACGCAAUAAGUACCCCGCCUGGGGAGUACGGUCGCAAGAUUA
rnacentral:rRNA from 1 species